GUCCUACACAAAGAAGGUGAGUCAUCCCCUGCAAGCUCUGUUUUGAUCAUCUCUCUCCUUCUCUGAACCCUGCAGGAUCUCUGAGUUUCUGCUUACGUCAAAUCAAAACUGAUCAUGAGUCACUCUUUAUCUAACUGUCCUCCACUUUCAUCAUAGCCUGAUUGUUCUCUCUGCUUAAUUCAAGCUGCCUGGCUCCUUUUUCAGAGCGCAUACAUGCUGUCUCUCUUCUCCAGGGCAUUCAGAGAGCCUUCCGCCCACCUGGCAUGUUUCCGCUCCUCUGUGCCAUGCCAGUCCGCUGCUGCUUGCUUCAGAGCCCAGCACAAUCCUCUCCUCCCUCUGAAAGGCUUUCUGGCUUUGCACAUGCUCAUCUCAGUCACUCCAGCAAACCUCUCCCCACUAUCUUACUCCAUCUUUACAUGCCACCACUGAGCAUUACUGGCCCCAGCAGCACAAAUGCAGUCACUGUUCUGUCACUGACAGAAGCAAUAUGCCACUCAAUGACUAUGAUCUGAAACCAACACUUCUGAUUCUUUACUGAGGAAUCCUAUACACCUGCUUGCACGUCUCAACCACUUUUUUUUAAAGAAGACAUCACCUUUUCUAAUGAGGAACAGUGAUUGUCCAUUCCUCAUAUAUGCCCUGCAUUUUCUCACCUCAAGGAUUUUGAUCAAUGUGAACUCUAUAUGUGGAAUGUCCUUUUCAUCUCUACUUGAUCUUCCAAACGUGUCAUUGAUAACUUGCUAGCUGCUGGUGGAUGACUGACAGUGCUGAUGAUGGUUUGAUCACUUGAUCCAGCUUCAGUCUACUCAUGUGAAAUGUGCCUGUUGUCACAAGAUGAACAUCACCAGAAUUCAUAAAAUGUCAUGGAGAUGGUGGAAGACAAAGUCAUAGAGCUUAAAGUUCGGAGAAGAAAUGUUCUGAAGCCACUACAGCUCUUCAGUUCAGCUGUGUACUACAAAUGCUAACUGUAUAAAAGCUACAUCUUUCAAUAAAUUAAAG
rnacentral:lncRNA from 1 species